GUCCUAGUAGCUUAAAUUAAAGCACUG
rnacentral:tRNA from 2 species